rnacentral:lncRNA from 1 species
CAACUCUCUCCCCCUCACUCUCUCGGCUCUCUCUAUCUCAACCCCUCCGAGAGUUUUUCUUACCAACAAUCAUCACCAUCGUCUUUAUCUCGUCGCUACGAACUCAACCAUAGUCUUGGCAUCUUGAAAGUCGAACCACGAAGCCCCGUACACGAGCUCCGGCGAGCACCCGCCCCUUUCAAGGCCAUUUCCGGCCAAACCACGGCGAGUUGGCCGGCGUGUAAGGUAUCAAUCUCUUUGUCUCGUCGAGUACUACAACUUUCCUUUUUGUUUCACUCAAUUUCGUUGAGUAUUGAAGAGGUUAUACUCAUUUGAAUCUUACCCAGUUUCCGGCGCGUCCGACGGCUUUCGAGGAAUUUUACGGCCAAACCACGGCGAGUUAGACAUCGUGUGAGGUACCAUUCUCUUCGUCUCUUCAAGGGCUACAACUUUUGUUUUUGUCUUGCUUGAUUUCGUUGAGUAGUGACAAAGUUAUAGCCGUUUAAAGAUGGGUGGUUUUCCGGCCGAAUUUCCGGCCUUCUUCUUCGGCAAAACCAGGCCUCUCAGGCCGUUUAGAAUCCCACGGGCCUUAAGCCCGUUUUUCCUUAGCCCAAAUCCCCAGCCCGUUUGAUUUUUAUUUUUAGUUAUUUGUUUUAAAGACCCCAAAGGCCACGGGCCUUAUUUAGAAUGGCCUUGGGCCGGUUUUUGGUUAAGGGGCUCUAAGCCCAGCCCUUUAAUAAGGCCUUAGGGCCUGUGUGUAUAUGUGUAUGGGCUGUGUGUGUGUAGCCCGUGCAUGUGUGUGUGUGUUAGUGGUGUAUGUGCGUGUGUUUGGGCUUAAGCUCAAACCACCAUUUUUCAUCCUAACCCUUUUUAACCAAAAACCUUAAAAAACCCAAAACCCAAUAUAUCCUAAUCCUAUUUAACCUAAACCCUAAUCCGGAUUUCAAGCCUAGAACCCGUUAGACCUAAUUUGACCGUUGACCCCCGGUCAACGUUGACUUUAGGGUUGACUUUUCGGGUUUCGUCCGAGACUCUUCUUAGGGUAAUUCAACGUUCUGAAUCCAUUUCCAACGUCCGUUUUCCCAAAUUCAAUUUCUAUUAUAUAGUUUUAUUUAUUGGACUCUUUAUGUGCUUAGGGGCAAUUAUUGUGACGUUCCCGUCUUCGCUAGUGGCGCAGUUUUUGGCAACUAAGUGCUGUGAGUGGACGCCUUUUAAAAUUACAUGAUUUGAUAAUUUAAUUGCAUAAAUGAUUAGCAUGCCUACGGAUUUAUAAUUUGAUUUAUGUGAAAUUUGUUGAUUUAAUAUAUUGAUUUUCGUCUCGUGUUUUGGUGAGGAAAUAAAUUGUUAGCCUAUUUUGAGCUAUAUUUUAAUAUAUCGUAUUUUCUAUAAAAACCAUGAACUGGUAGACUAUCUGACAUAUGACGAUAGGAUGCUAGAACAUGUUUUUGAACCCUUCUUUAUAGUGUAGACGAUGAUCGGUAUCUAUGCUAUGAAGUGGUUAUUUAUGAGAUGUGUAACUAUUUGUGCGUACUUAGUAGACAUUAUGCCGCCCGGGGCGAGGAUCUAGUGUUGGCAGUUAGGCCGGGAGAAAUAAUCCCUAGCGAAAGGCUGAGGGACACGGUGACAGGCAUUGGGCCGGGAGGGAGUUGUCUCUGGCUACGGGCACAGAGACUUAGGUGCAGGCAUUGGGCCGGGAGUUAUGUUUAUUCGAUGAUCUUACUAGCAACACACCGCGUUUACGAGACAAUCUGUGAGACGAUUCAUGCUUUGGUUUUACGCGAUGAUAUUCUGCAAUAUGGCCUUUGAGAUAUUUUUGGCAUGCUAGGAUUUUUAUUAAAUCCAUCACUUAUUAUGCUAAUAGUUUUCACUAUUAAACUGUGGGGGUUAAUAUCUUGAUAACUGUUUUAUUAUUAUUAUAUAUAUAUAAAUUUGGUCCACUCACCUUUGUUUUGCGCCCCCAUUCAGGACUUAGGAUUAAGGCACCUAAUCCCGGCGUCAAGACACUUCCGCAGCAGCAUCUUUGAAUUCUCUCGAUGUAGGACCCACUUCUUUAUUCAUUCAAUUUUAUCUCAAUUCUUUUUAGUGAUUAGGUUUAGUUGUAUGUUCUGAAUACGUUCCUAAAUUAUUAUGUCAUUGUACU